GGCCAUCUAAAAGUCAUUUUGCAAUUUGAAAUACAUCUAAAUUGCGUAUUUACUCAAUAACGCCGUUUAUUCGCUAUGUAUACGAAGUGAUAUCGUCAAAUCCGCUUAAUUCAGCGUUCAGCACAUAACCCGGUGCUUCGCAAUAUAAUCGCGAGUGGAUGUGAAUUUUGGCAACUACCGCGCAGCAAGCAGAAUACCACUUUCUUGAUAACCGGUAAAGUGGGAGUCGGUAUAAAGAGAGGAUAUAGUCGGCGGUGAUGGUCAGUGAGUUCUCAGUGAGAGUGCCGUGAUCGUUUCACCGUUCCACCGUUGAAAGUCAAAUAUGAAGCUGACGGGAUUCUUGAUAGUGACGUGUUGCUCCAUAAUCGCCGCGCGACCGGAGACCGAGGAUCAGGAGUUGCUGAAGAGGGCGUCGAAGCAGCUCGAGCGAUUAACGCCGUAUCGAAGGAGGAACGCCGAUCGAGAUCUCGCGCUUGACUUGGCGAACCUGCUGGAGACCUGGGGGCCUCCGCUGGGUCAGGACGACGGCGGCGGCUCGAACGGCGGGACGAGCGAGGUCGACCAGGCGGACCAGGGCGUAGUACCAGCGUGGGAGAUAGUCGGGAUUCCGCUCGGACGGACAGAGGCGGACGAAGCGGCGGCGAAACGGGCGGACGACGAGAAGCGAUUAACAAUCGACAUCGUCGCCGAUCCCGAGUACACCGCAAUGAUGCAGGAGAGGAUAAAGCGCGGCUUCAACGCCGGAUCCGCCAGUCUCAUCACCAGCAUAGCGGGCGGCGUGCUCAGCGGUAUCGCGAGCGCAUCGAGCGGUUCCGCGGCGAAAGCGUCAUCGAGCAGCAGCAGCAGCAGCAGUCAACAGGAUUACAAACCGGCUUACGGCCCACCCCCCCCGGUUUACUCGUACGAAGAGAAGCCCUUCGGUGCUUGGGACUUCAAGAAGACGAUUUUUAGCACAGUGUUUCAAGCUCUCAAGGCGAUAGGCGGCGGUGUGCUGGCUCUGAAGGGACAACUGGUCAAGGGUGGUGGUUACUUGCUCGCGGCUAAAAGCAAAGUUAUCAGUAAGACUGGGGACGUUAUCACGUCUUUUGGUAAACAACUGACGAGUAGUGUGGCAACCUAUCCAGCGUCCUAUCCACCGGAUACUUACACGUACGAGCAACAUCCGCCGGUUCAAGACAUAGAACACGAUCCCAAUUACCAAGGACCACCGCCGAGCCCUGACGGGUAUUCCGAAGCGAACGAUUAUCCUCCGCACUCGGCGUACAGCGUGCCAUCAGACGACAAUAAUCAGGGCGGCCUGCUGAUCGUGACGCCGACGAAAUCUGACCCAGACGACCACCACCAGGACGCGAACUUAGCCGAGGUGAAGCCAGACCUUGCCAAGUUAGAAGAAAGUUUCGGUGGCCCGACAUCGGGCUCCGCCAUCAAAGACUUCUUGAUCAGCACGGUGCACAGCGCGCACGGUAGCGCUGGCGGCGGCAACGGCGGUGGCAGCAUCACGACCACGAAUCACCAAGCCGCAAGCAUCGAUUACGACAACAACAUCAACGUGAAUUCUCACGCGAAUCCUCCUAUCGCGCAUCCAGCACCGAUCUAUGGAGCGCCCGAACAUUAUUAUACCUCGCAUCACGACCAACCGACGCAGAGCUACGACAACUACCCCGUAGUCGAUCAUGGGAACAUUCACCAUGAUCAUCAAUCGGAGCUGGCGGCAGCGCUGAUUCCGUCGUCGCAUCAUUUCCCGAAACUGGCCGAUCCUCCUCAUCUGUCCAUCCAGCAGAGCGUAGAGUACCCACCGCUGCAUGUGCAACAAUUCGGUAGCCCGCUGUUCGAGCCGGUGUCCAAGUUACCGCUCUUUGAGCACGACGAUGGCAUGUCGGUGCACGCGAGUCUCACUGUGGACACCGAGCCGAAACUCAUGCCCUUCAAAGUGCCUCUGCUGCCGCCGAGCUAUCCUGGCACUUUGAACAGCUUGCCCGAGCUGCGGCCGCACGUAGAUUUUCACGGACAGCCAGAGUUUGCAAAUGUUCACAACAGUUUGGACGGUCCGCUGAAAAUACAACUUUUGAACCCGUUGCCAGCCUAUUGGCAUUGGCAGGGCCAAGGUUCGCUCGCGCCGGCAUCAACUUUCGGCGCGUCGAACUCUUUUCGUAAGAGAAAUGUCCUGCACAGACGGACGUUCUCAGCCGGCCGACUCAAGCGACGUUACUCGUCGUCGCAGGCGACGACGGCCAUCCAUCGGCUGUAACGGCUCGAAGCAGGUAACGCAGGUCGGCAGGCGUGUAAUGUACAGAGAGAGAGAGAGAGAGAGAGAGAGAGAGAGAGAGAGAGAGGGAAGGAGGGAGCGAGAGGGAACGAAACUUUUCGAAAAUCUCGCGAUAUUUAUCGUGAGAUUAAUGUUUCGAUACCUUGGAUCGGACAUUUAUCAAAUACUCGAAACGUCAUGAAAUAGGCAAUAUUAGUAAUCUACGCGUUCGCGUAUUAUCCACACUCGAUCAAAUACAAGUACAGAUUGCCGUAUCCUUAUUACGGACGAUAAGGACUUCUGGUCCUUGGGCAAUCGCGCGGGUAUUACUUGCGUUACCGCAGAGCGGGCAAAUCGAUCAGCGGGAGAAUCUGUCGAAUUUUUGGAAGUCAAGAUGAAGAGGAGCACCUGAUAAAUUCUCAACGAGUACCCGCAUCCGCAUCAUGAAAGGCGCAUCUGUAUCAGAAGGUUACGCACACCGCACUACGCGGAAAUUCCUCGAGAGAGAGAGAGAGAGAGAGAGAGAGAGAGAGA
rnacentral:misc_RNA from 1 species